GUCCCGGUAGCUCAGCAGGAUAGAGCACAGGUUUCCUAAACCUGGGGUCAGGGGUUCGAAUCCCUUCCGGGACACCA
rnacentral:tRNA from 1 species